AAGUUUGCUUAGGAGACACUUAUUUAUCACUCCCUUGCUCUAAAAUCUCCAAUGACUCCCACCGCUGAUACAUUUCCUGCUGCUGAGCACGGAACUUAAACUCUUCGUAAUCCAAGAUUCUCCUUUACUUUGUCUUUAUGGAGCUGUUCCUCAGUGUCAUUUAAAUUCCCUCUCCUCUCCCAGUAGUCAUAUCUUCCCAUCCGUAGGCACUUGCCAAACAAGGAGUUUCUCUUAUUUCCAUCCAUCAGCAUCCUGCCUUUUCUUCAAGGCUCAUCUCAAAAUGCCACUUCUACCCGGAAGUCUUCCUGGGUUCUCCUAACCAGGUUCCCUUUCCCCGGUUUGCCACGCCCACUGUAUGCUGGCUCACGAAUUCCACUACUAGUGCUGGGAAAACACCAGUUCAAAGCAUAUACUCAGAAGCUAUGAAAAAUGUGUUUUCUUCACACCAGGAGCAAGGACCAGGGUCAAGAUAAAAGCCUACUCCUUGAUCAACUUGGACCAUUGCUGGAGAGAUUUUAAUUAAUCGUAUGGAAAAUAUUCAAGGGGCUUAGGAAAGCUGGGGAAGGUGGAGGCAGAUGUAAGGUAGGCAAAGCAGCUGCCGGAAACAAGGCUUUCUUCCUGUAACUGUAUCCCCCGGGACUGCAGGAACAGCCUGAACGGGAGGCUACAGCCCGGUAAUGAAGACGUGAACCGCUGAAAUGCCGUGUCAGAUGGCGGCGGUGACAUCUGAAAGCCGUAAUUUGCUGCUCGGCAUAUUUUUGCUCCAGGUACCAGAGCCUGCACAAACGCUGUCGUGUCUCUCCAAGGCAGCCGCUCUGCUCUCCAGCCUGGCUCUGGGCCAGGUGGUCUUGGCCUUGCCAACAGGUUUCUUUGGUGGAGAGCUCGGGAAGUCUUUGCUUGGAUCGUCUGACCGUGCAGAAACCGGGGAGUAGCGUGAGGUUAAAAGCACACCUUAUUCCCCAGAGGGCGCGUCUCUUGAACCUUCCAUAUCCCCUCGCCCCAAUCUAAGUGACCAGGCUGACUUCUUAAAGUGUGACCUAUAAAGGGUCAAAAUAAUUUUAGCCAUGCCAGGACUGGAGGGCUCCUCAAAAGGAGAGCUUACAAGCAAGGCACUGAAGCUCAGAUCUGUUCAGAGCAACUCGCCCUUCUUUCAAUCUGCGGCUUCUCCACCCCUUUCUUUCUCUCCUGGUUGAUACCUUCCCAGAACCUCAGCCAGGCAGACAAGCAAUUCCUGUGAGUACUGGCCUUCAAAUGAAAGGUUGUCCUUUGAUCCCUCACUGGCUACCUGGCACUUCGGUGGACUCAGUGCCCGAGUUCAAGCCUCUGUGAGUAAGGGGAGAGGGAUCCCCACAAGCACACUCAGGCUAUGCUUAAACCACAGGAACUGGGAGAUUCAAGGUCUGGGCAGAGAGUGAGGCCUUUCACAGCUUAAUCCUCCCCGCUGCGCCUCAGCUCUGCAAGCAGCCUACGUCUGUUGACCCGCUGCUCUGGAUGGCCUUCCUGCCAGGCUCACUGGUGGGCGGAGAGGAUGAAGUGACCGCGAACAACAGGAGUCUCAGCUCCUGGCCUGAGUCCCUGAAAACACAGGCUGCAAAGCAGGUUUAACAGCCUCCAAAAAAAAAAAAAACGCCCGGAGGGGCAGAGGCAGGGCAAGGACUCACUAAAGUAGAGGGUUUACCUCAAGGACAGUAUCUCAAGGACUCCUAGGUGCUGAGUGCAGAAUCACCCUGAGAUUGGGAGGCAUCUGGUAAAUGCUUCCCUGGAAAACUUUUCACUAGGCAAACUGCUGGGACCUGCAGGUUAUUCAGCUCCCACGGCAGGGUGGUCCGAAGUCAACAGGGAGCAGGCAACAGAGACUUCUCCACACCCUGAAAAGCCCACCAUCACAGGCACCGGCUGACACUGAACUCUUUGAACCUCAAACAUUUUCUCACCUAGCAAACAGCAUAACCCACUUCAUAAACUGUGGUCAUCAGAUCCCUUGAGGAGCUGCUGGAAGACUCCCUUGUUAAAUGCAACACUUUAGCCCCCCCCACACACACACACACACUCCUGUUUCUUUGAGAUAUUAUGUAUUUUGCUGAAACCCGCCUUUUUUAUACCCCAUUCUUUCACUCCUUAUGAACGCACACUUUCAUGUAAGUAGCAUUACAAUCAAGAUAGAAAACAUCUCUACAGACCUCAGUAGUUCCCUCAUGCCCCUUUAUAAUCAAUCCUGACCCCCCCAGUCGCAGCUCCAGGCAGCACUGAUCUAUUUUCUAUCCCUACGGUUACCACUUCUUUCCAGAAUGGCACAUAAAUAGAACCGUACAGUAUGCGAUGGCUUCCUGAGUCAGGCUUCGUUCACUUAGCGUGAUUCAUGACUGCAUUAGUAACGUGAUCCUCUCUCAUCGCUAAGAAGCAUGCAGGUAUACUUCACCCACUAACCAGCGGAGGGACGUUCGGAUUGUUUCCAGUUUGGGGUGAUUAUGUAUAGAGCUGGAGUGAACAUUCAAAUUCAGAUUUCUUUGUGCGAUUGGAAGUUAUCAUUUCGGUAAAUAACUGUAACCGAAUUGGACGGUAUCGGCGCAUGCUUAACUGUGUAGAGUAAGUGUGGGACUGUUUUCCAAAACGACUAUAAUUCGUUCCCACUGGCAGCCUAUGGUUGUUCCGUCGCCCCGUGUUUACCUGAGGUGGCUGCAGCUUCCUUUCUGGUUGCUAUUUUCAUGAGUAGCUAGCUGUCUUUCACUGUAGUGGUAUUUUAAUUGUAUACCAACAGCAAUGCCAAACCUUUUUGUGUGCGUACUUACAUUCUACAUGGCUUCUUUGAUAACACAUCUGUUAAGACUGUCUGCCCAUAUAUUAUAGAGCGGUCUGGUUUUUACUUACUACUGAACUGUGAGAUUUCCAUCUACACAAACCCUUUCCCAGAUAUGUGAAUUACAGACGUUUCCCCCAGGUCUGUUUUUUUUUUUUUUUUCUCAUUCUCUCUCUUUUUGUUGUUGUUGUUUCCUGUCGCCUUUAUUUUUUAUUUUAUUUUUCUCAUCAUUUUCUUGUAAAAACCGAAACCGAAAAACCUUAGUUUUUGGUUUUAGUUUUCGAUAGUCUAGUUUAUCAGUUAGAUAAUCUUUUUGGUUUGUACCCAAGAACUCAUUGCUUGAGUCAGAAUCACGGACAUGUGAUUUUCUCCUGAGUGUUUUAUAGGAAUCUGUGUCAACGCCGUCUUCUCCUCCAUUUAUGUUUAAGUGACCCCACCCCCACCCCACUCAGUAUAUUGUCUGUCCUUCCCUCUGUCCUGGAGGAAGCCCUAAAGAAAGCUGGUGGGUGUGUUGCUUUCUCUGGGACUCUACCCUGUCCAACUGGUCAGCAAGUCUUUCCGUAGCACAGAUACCCUCAUUCCUGAGCUAAAGGCCUGUUGAAUGUGGGGCUUCCGUGUGUCUGUCUCUUGUUGGUUAUUUCCCUAGGCAAACUUCCAUGCUGGUUGCAGAACCGUCUUCAUGAUUUCUACAGGAGAAAGUUACAGGGAAAUGAUUUGUUCCCAGGUCGGAGGAGCUCUGGCAUCUUCCUCCCAGGGAAGCGCACAGUCAGUGGACCUCUAUCUACUUAAAUCGGAUUUAUUUCCCAUCAAUAUUUUACCUUUAAGACAAUACAGGUCUGGUACGUUAAAAAAAAAAAAACAAAAAACUUUUCAUGUGUAUUCAGUGCUCUGAGGGGCUACUGUAAAUGGCACUUUAAUUGAAAUAGCCUUUAUUGAGUGUCAGUGGUAAGUGUUGGGAGCUUUUGCACAGAAAUGUAGCUGCUUGGCUGGACUGCUCCUCAAUCCAAAGUUGACUACCUCCAUUAAUAAUUCUGUCAGCACUGAAAAUCGAUCAAGUGGGGGAUUUCUGGAUGGAUUGGUAUGAUGUUACAAGAAGAGACUCUCAAAACUACAUGUAACUUUUUUCUUUUCUUGUCUUAUCACUCACUGUCUAGGACUUCCACAGCUAUUCGGAUUUAACUAGUUGGAAGGCUCCUUCCCACCCUGUUCUGUGUCAUGGGGAAUCUUAGCUCCCCACAGCUAAGCAUCCUGCUGUCUGCAGGCAUUUCCAACAUGGAUGGGGAAUCCUAGUUUGCUGGCCAUUUUAUUUACUCUGGGUUGUUUGUUUGUUUUAUCAUGAAUGGAUUUUUCUUCUUUAGUCUGUUUAUAUGCAGAGUUACACUGACUAGUUCUUAAAAUACUUAACACCGUAUCCCCAGAUUGCAUGCCUGCGUUCUAAGUGUUCCUGAUGUGAACAUGCAGUAUGCUAUUCUAGACGGAACAACCUGUGGAGACCACCCAGACAGGUUAGGUUGGUAGAUGGAUCAUCUCAUUAUGUCUCCUCCUUGAUUUCGCCCUGUAUUUAUCAGUCAGACCGAGUUAAUGCUGAGAUAGGAGUGUUGAGAUCUCUGAUUGCAAUUAUCUCUCUCUUUUCAACUUUGUUAGUUUUUGCUUCUUGUGUUUUGAAGGGUUAUUACUAAGUAUACAUAUCUUUGGGGUUGCUACGUCACCUCCCCCAUGAGUCAAGAUUUUGCUAUAUAGCCUAGGCCGGUCUAAAGUCCACGUUCCUCCUGCCUCAGCGUCGUGAACACUAGUGUCAUAGUUAUGUGUCACCUGACUCAUGUUACAUCACCUUAAACUCUGCUAGUCGUCCUUACUAUAAAACCUACUUUCCCAUAAAUAUAUCUGGGGCAUGGGCUUUUCCUCGGCAUUUGAGUAGCGCAUUUAUUUUACUUGUUUUAACUUUAAUGCCCUGUAUUGUUUGUGUUUUAAAUGGAUUUUUAACCAGAUUGUCAGGUUGGAUCUUACUUUUCCGGGCUGCCCAAUAACUUCUGCCAUUCCAUUGCUCUGUUUAACUGUUUGUGUUUGAUGCAGUUAUUGACCCUGUGGAAUUAAAGCUGCUGUCUCGUGUCUGUCUCCCCUUGUUCUGUCUGUUGCAUCUUUCUUCUUCUCCUUUCCCUGACACUGGAUGGCUUUUAUUCCAUCUGAUUAUCUAGCGUUGACUUAUCAUUUUACUUUUAAAAUUUAUAGCACCUACCGUAACUAACUAUGGUCUACCCUCAACUAAUAUAAAGCUUUGCACCUAAGUGUCACAGCAGUAAAUUUUCAGUCCCUACAGACCUUUGUCCCAUUGUCAUAUGUAUUGGUUUUCCUCUUUUUUUUUUUUAAUAUAUUAAACACACACUACAAAAUUAAACUACUGUUUAGUUUUAGGUGGCUAUCUUUUGUUUUACAGAAUGACUAGAAAUUAUGUUUUAGACGCCUUGACCUCCACCCAACUUUAGCCAUUUCCAGAGAGCCUUAAUUUUUGCAUGCAGAUCUGUCUGCCGGCAUCCCCCCCUCUGCUGAGGAGCUCGCUAAAGCUUCUCUGGGUACAGUUGUGGUCAUGGAUUCUCUCAACCCUUGAGUAUCUCCAGCUGCCUUCUUUUCACCUCCGUUUGGAAAGGUGGCUGAGCUGGUGCCUUGGUUUACACAUUUCCCUUUACUGUCUUCUAGAAGACACAGAUUCAGAAUGGAAAUCAGUCACACUCUGCCGCUUUCUCCUGCCUCUUUCUCUUUGGUUUAUGGAAGCAUAGGGUGUGUGCUGCUCCUCUCCUCAUGCCCUUGUCUUAUUCAUCAGUUUUCUCCUUGCCUCCCAUUCUCUCCUCUACCCUGUGGGGUUUCAAUUCCAGGUAUAUUCAACCAUUUGAUAUCAAGCCACACCUCUGGAUAUCUUUCUUCUCUCUCUUUUCUCUUUUAGCAUCUCAUUUGUAGUACUUUCCUGUGUUGGUAAAAAGCAAGCAAACAAACAAAUCGAACGGAAAAACACAUAGGUAAGUGCUUUACUACUGGCCUACAUCCUCUGCCCACAGUUUGAAUGAUCUGGGAUGACUUAUUUCCAGGUUCACGAAUUCUCAGUGGUGUUAGUUUUAUUUAUGAGUCCUCUCUUCUCUCCUUCCUUCUCUUCCCCUCCCCUUCCCCCUUCUCUCCUCUCUUCCCACUUCUCCCCUCCCUUCCCUUCCCCUCCCCUCCUCCUUUUCUUCUCCCCCCAUUUAUUUAUUUAUUUAUUUAUUUAUUUAUUUAUUUAUUUAUUUAUUUUUGACAGAGAAUCUUGCUUACUAUGUAGCCCAGGCUGGCCUCAGACUUGAUUCUGCCCCCUCCAUUUCCUGAGAAACUGUAGCACUCUGCUGUUGCCUCUGUUGUCUUGUUCUUGUUGACCUCCUGGUAGGUUUGUUUGUGGCUUAUUUAUGGUUUCCAACUCUCUGUUCAGAUUCCCAUCUACUCAGACAUUGUCCACUGACUGUAAGGCUUCCAUGCUCUCGGCAGCCAUUCACUGUGUGUUUCUACAACACUGUGUGUUCCUAGGUCCUCUCUGAGUUUGCUUCUAUUCCUAAGCUCACCCGUUUUUCUUUUCCCUUUUCCCUCCUAGUGCUAAGGAUUGCUCGCCUUGAACGCGCAACCUUCCUUCCUCUCAGGUAGCUGAGGUUGAGAACUUAAGGACCACGCCACCUCUCUAACAAUGAGUUCACUUCUCUUGCUUCUUUGUUAUUAUUUAUUUAGUUAGUAGAGUAGUAGGCAUUGUGUGAAGACUAGCAGAGCUUAAGGCAAAUAUUAUAGAUGACUGGAAAUGAACAUACCAGGCCUUCAAUGUAGAUUUCAAAUUCUAAUGCUUCAAUUAGAAUUUGAGGGAUUUUUGUUUUUGUUUGUCUUUGUUUAUUUGUCUGUUUUGAGGCAGGGUUUCUCUGUGAAGCCCUAGCUGUCCUGGAACUCACUCUCUAGACUAGGCUGGCCUUGAACUCAGAGAUCUGCCUGCCUCUGCCUGCCUAGUGCUGGGAUUAAAAGUGUGCACCACCAUCCCCCGGCUGUUUUUUGUUUUGUUUUGUUUUGUUUUGUUUCUAUUCUUACAACUUUGUUUAGUUCACAACUGCCUUCAAAUCCCUAUAACACAGCAGUGUUAACCUAACUGGACAUUCAUUUUACAAUGCCUGGGGACAUUUCUUGUUUGGUUGGUUCACAACUAAGAGAAGAGAAUAAUACUAGGAUCUACUGGGAGGAGACAGGGGAUUCUUUACUGGGUGCCCCAUAGCUAAAAUUCACAUGGUACGAAGCAUUGGCGUGGCAAGAUCUAACUUUGAAUUCUAUGAGCAUAAAGUGUGGGGUCAGCUCAGAGGAGGCUGAUUCUCGGGGAUCCCCGCCUCCGUCAUUUCUCAGCCUCUGUAUCUGGGAAUAUAUUUAAACAGAAACCAUCUGGGAAAAGGAAACCUCAGUGGUUGUUAAGGGCAGAGAAACUUACUCUGUUGUUUGGAAUGGGGUGUACAUACAGCUUCAUGAAGAGGUGUGUGUGUGUGUGUGUGUGUGUGUGUGUGUGUGUGUGUGUGUUUGUAGGUUUUUCGGUGCAUUGUUAGGCAAGGGUGUCCCUAUAGUACAUAAAGAUGGAGGGGGCAGGCCGUAGGUGGCCAAGUGCAUUAUUAAAUGAAAAUACUGUGCAUGUCCCAGAACAAGUAGAAUCCCAGAUUGCCGAGCUGUUCACUAGCUUGUCUGCCUCAUCUGCACCUUCCAUGGAUCUCUUUCAAUAUUCCUGAGCUUGUUACCUGGGGUCGAAUAGUCUGGGGGUGGAGGGUAAGAAGGCGUGGUGUAUGUCCUGGCUUCACUUCAGCCAUAGGUGAGCUCUGAGUACUGGAUCUGUGCUGAACUUUCUCAGGCCUCCCCCACCCGCCUCCCCCAUCCCUCCUCACUGUGGCAAACAAACUCUGCAUUACAUCUUCUGUGAAUCUUGAGAAAAGGGCUUCCUGCCCUCUCCUAGCCUUAGGAAGCCCUUCUGAGUAUUAGAGAGGGCUCAGCAGUGUUCCCCAGCCCUCCCAAGGAGGUAGAUGGUUUGUGGGGUUCCCCCUUUCACCGGUCCUUGUGAGUCACUGCUCCAAAACCCCAAUGUCACUGUCAACACCUAUAAAGGAGACUGGAGAAGGACCUGGGAGUAUGUACACGGCCUCGUGUCUGUGUGCUCUGUAUGGUCACUCUGCCCUGACCUAGUUUGCAGUUCAUUUCAGGAACUGCAUCUGUGAGGUCAUAUGUUGCUGCUCCCAAUAUGCUGCCAUAGUGAGUGCCUGUUCAUUGUUUCUCUCCAGAAAGAGCAUGCUUUCCCCCCCAUUCCAGACUAUGUGGCCGUUCUUACAACCUCAGCUCCUCUAGUUCAAGAAAAUAGUUAAUUUUAUAGUUCACUGUGAUUUUCUUCUUUUUUUGCUGUUUUCAGCCAUGCAUGUUCUAGACACCUUCACCAGCCCUAGCCCUAUGAGACAGCAUGUUCUGUGUCCACAAAAUAGCUCACAAGGACCAGCAACAAGGGAAGAGGUCAGCAUCAGGCAGCAGUGUGCUGUUUAAUGCAGCUUCUCCGGAGAGAUUCCCAGAAUGAAGCAAGGAUUCCCAGAGCCUCGGCUCUUAAAACGUACAGAAAACUUCAAGGAAGGAAACUAGAAAGAACUUUAUAUAGACUUGUAAGCAGUAUUGGGUUUAGUGGCUUUUGUUCCCUCUUCUUUUGAUAAAAUGUUGACCAAAGGCAACUUUGGGACAGAAAUGGUUUAUUUGGUUUAUACUUUUAUACCACGAUCCAGGAAGGGAAGUCAGGGCAGGAGCUCACAGCGGGAACCUGGAGGCAGGAACUGAAGCAGAGACUAUGGGGGAACCUUGCUUAUUGGCUUGCUUUCUGGGUUUCACUCAACCUUGCUUCCUUAUAUGAACCAGGACCACCUGCCAGGAGGUUGCCAUGGCUACAGUGGACUGAGCAGACCACUAACACUUGGUAGGAGAGAGAAAAGGGUAGAGGGAAAAGGGAGACAUUAUGGUUAAACUACUUCCUGCUGAUUGGGGACACUGAGUUCCUUGGGGAAAGUUUGACCUUUGCUGUCAGGAUAUCUAUUUUUUUGUUCUUGUUGUUUCUUCUUUGUGCAUGACUACUUAACAAACCACAACCGACAGCAACCAACUACACACAACCAACAGCCAACCUCUGGAGGGCCCUAGCAUUUAUACAGCCUCUGAAGAGUUUCCAGAAUUCCAAAUGUCACACACCCGCAGGAACUAUCUGCAUCUGGCAAAAUCACACGCCUGCUACAGCACGAGGCAAAUCAUAGUCAGUUGCUGUGGACAAUCUGAAACAACCGCAUCUCCCACACCUGGGAUCAAAACAAAAGCAUAUUCUUAUAAUAUUUCUGUGUUUACAAAGAAAUGAAAAUUUGUACUGCAGUGCCAUUUUGCAAGCUGGUAAAAAAAAUUUUUUUAAAAGCCAGUGGUUCUGUUUGACUGUAAGACCUCAGAACUGGGUUACAAGGAAGAAAGAGGUUACUGGUACAAUUCCCAGUGUCAUAAGGCCCAGCAUCCCCAUGCCUUGGGCUGAAGGCAGGAGAAUAUGGAUAGAUAUCUAAGUUCAAGAACAGAGUUUUCCAAAUCUAGAUGUCUUGACAUCUUGGACUUCUAAAUUGUAAAGGAAUAAACUUUUAUGACUCAUGCAGAAUCAACUAAAACUUUUUUUGGCAUAAAUAUUUUGGAACAUAAGCCAUACCGCAGACUGCAGAUCCAGCAUCCUCUGGGCAACUAUGUGUGAACAGGGACUAUCUUGUUGAAUCUACUGGAAGAAUGAUCUACAGUACUCUCUACUCUCCAGCCUCAACCAUGGGAAUCCUGCAAACACCCAGGAAGAAAUGAUCUGGGCAAAAUAUCUGAGAUCAUUCAAUAAAACAGAGUGUGGACAUUUAAUACUGCAAUGAUCCUUCAGUUUCAAAUCGGCUUUUACGAUUCUCCGUCACACAGAGAAAGCCUCUCUGUCCCCUGUCAAGGAGAAGGCUCACAAAGCAAAAGCAAACACUCUGGAAACUGCCCACCAAAUGAAAGCUAAUGAUGCUUUCCUUUCUUGGUCAAGAAGUAACCUUCAGAGCCAAGUGCAGUGGCUCACACCUGUCAUCCCAGCACUUACUUGGGAGGCGAAGGCAGGAAGGAGGGUGUAGUAAGGUCAAGUCAAGCUUGGGCUACGUCCAGAGUUCCAGGCCAAAGUCAGAGAUCCAGGGCAUCACCGCUACUCUGCCUCACAAAAAAGCAUACAGGAGCUCUUCAGGCUCAGUGCCCACAACCGCACGCAGGCAGAGAUAUACAUGUACACAGUUGCUUCUAGAAAAAGCAAAGCUGUCAUUGAGCUUAGAAAAAAGCCACUAACUCAGAGACCUAAGGGCAAAUGCUGGGGUAGAUAUGAAUUACAUAGCACCACUAGACCUAAAGAGUCUGUGUCUGAUUGCGUUUCUAAUUUACUUUGAUUUACUAGAACUAAUUUGCAAUAGUGACUGGCAAUCUGCCCCUGGUAAGGGUGCUUCUAAAUUUAAAAUUCAAUUUUAAUUCAUUUCAACAAAUGCUUAUUGAGCCCUUCUAAAUGCCAGGCAUUAUGCGAGGGUCUGGGGACAGAGAUUUGCCCAGGGAACAUGGUGGUCCUCCUACAACUUAGCAAAGUAGCAGAUUACCUACUGACUGACCUUCCUCAUCAAAUAUCAGCCACCAGACAUUUUGUAGUGUUCCAACCAAUGCCUUACACUUGGCUUUGUCUCAGGCUGUACAAUAAGGCUGAAGGGCCAUGGUUCAUGCCCACUGCUAGCUACAGGGUUUGUAGAAAGAUUCUAUUUCUGGGCUGGCAGAGAUGUCCUCUCCCCUCCCAGGGUUGAAUAUGACCAACCACGGACAGCAUCAAAGGCUCAGGGACAGCCUGGUAAUAUGCAUCCUCUCACCACAUAAGCUGUGCAGCUAAUGUUGCAGUGGGAUAUUGUUCCAAAGGUGCAUAUCUGGAAGGCCUCAAAGGAAUGUGACCUAAGCUGUAUGUUUUUUAAUACAUCUUUUUUUUUCUGCUAAAAUCACUCUUCUUCUUGCUGGCAGAUCAGAAUUCUGACUGAUAUACAUAGUUAGAUUCCCACCCAAAGAGAGUAUGUUGUACCAUCUGAAAUCACAUAGCUUUGGGGUGGGGUGGGGUGGGGUAUUGGAUUAUGUCUAUAUGAAAAGGACAUAGAAUCCUUUUAGGGACUAGAGAGAUGGCUUGUGGUUAAGAACACUUGUUGUUCUUCCAAAGGACCAAGGUUCGAGUCCCAGCAACCACAUGGGUGACUCAUACCCACCUGUAACUCCUAUUCAUGAUGGAUCCCAUACCCUCUUCUGGCCUCCUCAGAUGUCAGACAUGUACACGGUACAAAGAUCUACAUGUAAGAACUCACAGAUACACACAAAGUAAAAUUAAUUAAUUAGUUGAUUAAUUAAAAAGAAAGUCCUGUUAGUCAUUGGUGCUCAGCUGUAGGACAAGCUGGCAUUGCCUCCACUAGCUUGUCUCAAAGAAGGAAAAGAAAUUUAGUUUCAUUUUUAUUCUAUCAAAUAUGAACAGACACACUGCUUUGUAUCACUCAUUUGCAUUCAUAUAUGUUCUUCGGACAGGAGGAAAAAGUAGCAGCGUGAGGAUGCUAAGCAGUGCUUCAUGGAUGAGGGCUUAUUCUGUUUGGGCUAUAGCUGGAGACAGGUCAUGGUGUGGUGAGCCUUUGCACCCGAGCUUUUGGAAUCUUUCCAUGUCGGGAGGGGCAAGAACUCCCAGCAUGCACUGCGCCAACUAUGCGUUGGGAGAGCUGUUUUGCAGAGCUCUGUCCCCUCAGGGUGCACGUGUCCCUGCAGGUGCCUGCCGCCAGCUUUAGUGGCCACAGUAUCAACACAUCCAUCAGCGGCCUUUCAUAUUAAGUUACAGAACACAUACCAUGGGGCCCAAUUUAACUGGAGGACAAGGAAAUGUUUUAAAUUCUAGCGCUGCCCUGAGCCAUACGAGACCAGUCACGUUGUGUAACCUUUCUUUACUAUCUAUUCUUCCUCUGCACCCAGCUGCUGCAAGGUACAAUAUUAUACUUCGCCCAGACUCUGGGCACCUGUUGUAGGCAAUUUGAAAUAAAAACAAGUUGGUGGGGAACUCGAGAAGGUAUUUGGGAGCACAUUUCAUUCGCUCCGGAUACCCCUGCAGACUAUUCCAUUUCAGCAGAUUCUGCAACCAUUCCUCUUUGCCAUCAUUCGGUGGGGGGGGGGGGGGGGGUCAGGGAGGGGAGCAGGCAUCACACAUCUCUCUUUAGAGAGAACAAAUCAGCACUCUGCUGGUCCAGAGGCUGCAGACGGCCUUGCUCAUUCUCCUCUGGUCCACUCUGCUUCUCUGCUGUGUGCUAAUAUUUCCUUUCUGCCUUUCCAUUUGUCACAGCCGCCUUUCCCCCAAAGAGCUUUCAUUUCCUCUUGUUUGUCUACCCCGCACUCCCUCACUCCCUCCCUCCGUGCUUUUCAUGAGAGGACACCAACAUUCCUGGAAGACUAGAGAAGGUUCACAAAUUAAUGGCAGGGACCCAGCAAAGUCAGACAUGACCCGGAUGGCACCAUACACAGAAAGGAGAGUCAGUACGUGUGUCCUUGUAUCCCUUGAGGUGUCCUGCUUUGGACUCACCUGUCGGCUUUUCAUCAGUAUGAUCAUGACGAUUGCUUAGGGAAAUUAGCAAUUUCUCCUAAGAACAAAGAGAGAUUCAGAGGGGCAAGAACAUGCAGUUCACUCCACAAGCUUUUCAGAAUCAUUUGCCAAGACCCAGGCUGCUUUUUUUUUAUCUGUUUAUUUCUAUUCUUAAAAUGGUUGCCUGUUUCUAAAUCCUUCACCAGCCAUCAUUGUUAGCAUUCUUAACUCCCCUCCCAAUCCCCUGAAUAAACCUUAUUCUAUACUAUACCAUGGUGUGGCUGGUCCCUCAGGGGGAAGGGA